rnacentral:rRNA from 1 species
UGAGUGUGAGGUAGGCGGAAUGCGUUGUGUAGCGGUGAAAUGCAUAGAUAUGACGCAGAACUCCGAUUGCGAAGGCAGCUUACCAACACUUUACGGACGCUGAGGCACGAAAGCGUGGGUAUCGAACAGGAUUAGAUACCCUGGUAGUCCACGCAGUAAACGAUGAAUACUAAUUGUUCGGGGGGCAACCCCUGAGUGAUACAGCGAAAGCGUUAAGUAUUCCACCUGGGGAGUACGCCGGCAACGGUGAAACUCAAAGGAAUUGACGGGGGCCCGCACAAGCGGAGGAACAUGUGGUUUAAUUCGAUGAUACGCGAGGAACCUUACCCGGGCUCAAACGUUGGGGGAAUGCUCCUGAAAGGGAGCAGCCAGCAAUGGUCGCCAACGAGGUGCUGCAUGGUUGUCGUCAGCUCGUGCCGUGAGGUGUCGGCUUAAGUGCCAUAACGAGCGCAACCCCUGCGUCCAGUUACCAUCAAGUCAUGUUGGGGACUCUGGACGGACUGCCGGCGCAAGCCGUGAGGAAGGCGGGGAUGACGUCAAAUCAGCACGGCCCUUACGUCCGGGGCGACACACGUGUUACAAUGGCGUGGAACAGCGGGAAGCCACCUGGCGACAGGGAGCGGACCCCUAAAACACGUCUCAGUUCGGAUUGGAGUCUGCAACUCGACUCCAUGAAGCUGGAUUCGCUAGUAAUCGCGCAUCAGCCAUGGCGCGGUGAAUACGUUCCCGGGCCUUGUACACACCGCCCGUCAAGCCAUGGGAGCCGGGANNNNNNGAAGUACGUAACCGGAAGGAGCGUCCAAGGGUAACACUGGUGACUGGGGAUAGGUCGUAACAAGGUAACCA